UGGGGAAUAUUGCACAAUGGGCCAAAGCCUGAUGCAGCCCAAUGGAGGAAAUUAAGAAGGCGUAAGGGUUGUAAAGGGAAGAAGGUUUUAGGAUGUAAACUGUUUAAUAAGGGAAGUAUAAUGACGUACCGAGAGAGUCGUUGCC
rnacentral:rRNA from 1 species